UCGAGCGCGGCCCUGUUGCCCGCCAGCGGUCUCCGCGGCGUCCUCGGCGGGGAGGGGACAGCCGGGUCUGACCCGCGCGUCAGAAGCAGAGAUGGAAGGAGAUGACCUCUUUAGACACAUGCCUACCAGAUGGCCAACACGGCUGGCAGCCAUAGAAAAGAUGCUAAAAUGUUGGCCUAACGUAAAAUCGUAUUUUCAAAGUGUGGGGCAAGAAGGAUGUCCUUCUUUGAUUUGGAAAUAUAUUGAGGAUGAGAAUGGAGAAGAGGAUUACAGUAGAACAGAAAUUUAUAUGUUGUUUCUCCAGAACUGUUUGAUGAUCUCUGAAGGGACCAUAUGGAGUCCUGAAAAGGGUGAGUUGACUGCACCUGAGCUGUUCGAUGUCAUGUAUACGUUGAGACAAACAUACAGCGGAAAGGUGAUUCAUUUUUGGGAAAUAAGACUGCUUCCGAACUGGAAAAAAAAAAAGUCACUAGAACAGGGCAACCAAGUUAAACAGGACUUUCUUAAUUUCUUCACUAAAACUAAUUUAUUUGGACUCUAACUUCGAUUUCACCAGUUCAAAUUAUCUCUGUGCUUUAAAGCCAUUUUCCCUGAGGAGGAGAUGUUUAACUUACCAUGACAUCCAGUGUGCUUCAGAGUGUUUAAAAAUGACAGAUGUUGCAACCACGAAUAGCCUGUAUGAUGAAUUUAUAGAUGCAAAGGACCUGAUUGACGAGCAGCUGGACUAUCACAAGCCUGUGGAUACGAAGUAGGUGGACAUUGCUGUUGCUAGAAAAUUGGCAGCAAAUCACAGCAGUACUAGAACCUGUGACUGUCAUCCCCAGGAAUCACAGAUAUUCACGUUACAGACACCUCAGAGUAUUGUUUAUGUGCACAACUACUUGGAAAUUAUGGUAAUUAUUAAAACCCACUUCUAGAUCUCAUAAUUUAAUAAUGAGAUUAUUAUAU